GUGGGGAAUAUUGGACAAUGGGCGAAAGCCUGAUCCAGCCAUGCCGCGUGUGUGAAGAAGGUCUUCGGAUUGUAAAGCACUUUAAGUUGGGAGGAAGGGCAGUAAGUUAAUACCUUGCUGUUUUGACGUUACCAACAGAAUAAGCACCGGCUAACUUCGUGCCAGCAGCCGCGGUAAUACGAAGGGUGCAAGCGUUAAUCGGAAUUACUGGGCGUAAAGCGCGCGUAGGUGGUUCAGCAAGUUGAAGGUGAAAUCCCCGGGCUCAACCUGGGAACUGCCUCCAAAACUACUGAGCUAGAGUACGGUAGAGGGUAGUGGAAUUUCCUGUGUAGCGGUGAAAUGCGUAGAUAUAGGAAGGAACACCAGUGGCGAAGGCGACUACCUGGACUGAUACUGACACUGAGGUGCGAAAGCAUGGGGAGCAAACAGGAUUAGAAACCCCUGUAGUCC
rnacentral:rRNA from 1 species